rnacentral:lncRNA from 1 species
UCUCUCUCAACUCUCAAGUCUACUGUCGCCCUCCCCUCCCCCAUUCGGCCUCUCCGUCACUAGUCUGGUACAGCCGUGCGCCUCCCGCCGAUCGUUCCUCUGCUCCACGCUGUCAACGUCGUUCUGCGUCCGGUUCCUGCGUCCGCUGGUCUGCUUGCUUCUUUGCUCUUCUCCGCCGCUUCCUCUGCUCCAGUCUUGCCGUCUGGUGCUGCUCCUCGCCGCGUGCUCUGUCACUGCAGGUUUGGAUGGAUAUUUUGAAAUUGUGAUUUCAGAUGUGUGCUUU